CUUAGCUGUCAAGCUGGAUGUCACAGUUACAAGUCUCCAUCUGACUGUUGCCGUCCAUGGAGAUGUUGGUCUGGAGGUGGAGUCUUCCAGUGUGGAGAUAACAGAGAUCUCCCAUUUGAGAAGUGUGGUUCUCUCCGAAUUCCAGGAUGCUUUCU